GGGGGGGGCAAGCGUUGUUCGGAAUUACUGGGCGUAAAGGGCUCGUAGGCGGCCAACUAAGUCAGACGUGAAAUCCCCAGGCUUAACCUGGGAACUGCGUCUGAUACUGGAUGGCUUGAAUCCGGGAGAGGGAUGCAGAAUUCCAGGUGUAGCGGUGAAAUGCGUAGAUAUCUGGAGGAAUACCGGUGGCGAAGGCGGCAUCCUGGACCGGCAUUGACGCUGAGGAGCGAAAGCUAGGGGAGCAAACGGGAUUAGAUACCCCGGUAGUCCUAGCCCUAAACGAUGAAUGCUUGGUGUGACGGGUAUCGAUCCCUGUCGUGCCGAAGCUAACGCAUUAAGCAUUCCGCCUGGGGAGUACGGUCGCAAGGCUG
rnacentral:rRNA from 1 species